AAAUAGAGAGGGCUUCAGAAACAGACGAAUUCAGACAGAGGCGAAUUAAUUUGAACACGACUUGAAGGUGAUUAGCCCAUUUUAUUUUUAUCCGGCCUAAAGCUUGCCUAGGCGUUAUUAAAGACGGUGAGCAUGCAAUGGUUUCUAGUUUUAAUGAGGAGUUUGUUAACCAGUCUUACGUCUAUUUAACAAAAUUAAGGAGGCAUUCAACAAUUGUAAAAAAGAAAAACCCUAAUUACAUGGUAUCUAAUGAAUAUAAAGGCCCUAAUACAUGAUAUCUAAAUGCAAGGCAGUAAUAAGAUUAUUGACUGAUUGUGAUUAUAAAAAUAACAAGCUGAAAGUAAAAGACCUAAGAACAUGAUUUCUAUAUGUCGAUGCAUGUCCUAUACAUGGCUUCUAUUACGCAAAUAGAUAAGUAAAAUCCAAUAAACAUGUUUUCUACCCAUACCCUCAAUAACCAUGCAUAACCCUCCCCAAUUUCACUAUAAUCCCGUUUGUCUUUACAAGUUAUUACUGACCAAGUAAAUUAAAAAAAUACGACAGUGAAAGAAAAGAAGAAGCUAUUCUAUUGGGAGCCUACAGCCAGGCCCAAGCAUCUCCAACCUUACUUCUUUCGAGUUUCACAGCCAUUACCAAGGCUUGGGUGCGGCAAAGUUCCCUAAGGGUUCAUUUGAACCCCUGGCCAAUACCAAGCACCCAAAAUAUCCCAAUUGGACAAAUGCAAGCAUGUAAGUGCCGACCUUGUGUAUCACAGUUCCAUGGAUGCUCAAGGCUCCCAAGACAAUGCUUACACUAAGGAGGAAAUCCCUAAAACUCUAAGAAUGAGAUUGUGAUUAGAAUUGAGAGUGUUGAAAACAGUUGAGAGAUAGUUUGAUAAAACAGUUGAAAAAGUUGAGACAAUUUAAGAAAAUAGUUGAAAGAGUUGCAACAGUUCUUUUGAAAGCAUUUAGACUGCCCAGUAUUAGAACAACAGAGCAUCACACAAAUGAGGGCAAAGGGGAAGGGAACAAAUAAGCAAAGUAAACUACUCACAUAGGCAACACAUUGGAAGAAGUAACAGACAUGAUUGCAUAAACAAGAGUUUAGUUCUUACUGUACCAAACUCUAAUACACCUAGCUUAAAACAGAAGUUUUAGGUUAACCAAGUAUCCUGACACUGGGAGAAAGUAACCAGUGAUUGAAAAAACAAGAUUUAGUUCUUAUUGUACCAAACUCUAAUACACUUAGCUUUAAACAGGGGUUUUAGGUUAACUAAGUAGCCAGACAGACAUGGAUGCAUGGUAGUAGUACAUAAGGAAACAUUCAUUUAGACAUGGGAGGGGGUAAGGGAGAAUGUUAAAUUGAACCAAAUAGACUAGUAAGUAACAUGCUAGCGACAAAAAGAGCAGCAAAACCAUAAGCAAAAGCAUACAAGAAUAAUUAUGAAAUGCAAAAUUAAUAGAAAGAUGUUGUUGUGGAAACUGUAUCUUAAUGGGGUGACAUACCAGUUGCAAGUAAUAGACCACAAGGACAAUAGUGUACAGAGGAACAAAGUGAGCAGAAAGUGUAAGCAGUAGAGAGAAUAACAUCAGUAUGAGAAUAUCAGCAACAAUAUGAGAAUAGCAGCAACAAUAUGAGAAUAGCAGCAGCAACAGACCCAAGUAGACAAACAAUAGGACCAAGUAGUGUAGAAGUAAUCAACCCAGGCUACUGAAUCUUGGCUUUUAGCCGAUUGAGUGUUCAAAUAAGAGAAUGAGAGAGUAUAGUAAUAGUAGAUAAAUAGAGAAUUCAGAGAGUCUGAGGUUGUGAGAGCAGUGUGUGUUGGUGUUUUCCAAGAGAAAGGUGAGGAGUAUUUAUAGUACUAAAAACAAGUAAACAAAUAAGGUAUCAAUCCAUAUUUAAGGAAUUGAGUAUCAAUCAUAAUCAAAUAAGCAUAUGGACUCCCCACUAAUAAAGAAAUAAAAUUCAAACGGUAAUGAGCAGUCAUUUUAAAAGGAAAGUAAUCACAAAGUAUGGCAUGGUCACAUAAGGAAACAAAAAAUAGUAUAAGGUAUACAAUGAAGACUGGGUGCAUGAUACUUAACCAAGGAAACAUGUCAAGAAAAUAAAUCAACAUACUUGUGCCCACAUAUAAGGAAAAAU
rnacentral:lncRNA from 1 species